UGCAACUAACUUCGACAAAUUCUGGUUUUGAACCCACAGUGUAGUCUAUAACAAAUUUGUUGAUGACAAAGCAAUAAAAAGGAAUACAUUCAAAUCCUAUGUUUUGAUUUGGUGUUGAAGCAUGGUUGAGUGAUCCUACUCACAUUAAUGGAGGGUGCUUCUUCUUUUGCUAAACCCGUUUCAGAAUCAACAUGUAAAAAAACAGUAACUCAACACAAGGUUCAAAUAUUAUUAUUUUUUGUAAAUCAGGAAAAGACAGAGACUUGAUGAUCUACGAUUCCUAAACUACGACCAUGUUUCUAGCUUCUCCUCCGCCUUACUCGUUUUUCACAGCACUGUUACAGCUUUUUGCGUUGCUAGCUCCUGGCGGGUUUGGUGCAUCCGACUCACCACACGCCCUAAGAACAGCCUCAUUCUACAAGAAACUCCCAAAAACUAUUAAAUACAGUACUUGUGUUGACAAAAAUACAUGAGGGUUGAGUUAAGCUUUUUAAAAUAAAUUUGUGGAUAAUUAACAGACAUGUUCGUUUGAGCUCAAAAUCACCAACAUACAUGUUGAUACAUCGACAAGCUUUACCAAAAAAAACAUAACGCAAGCAUACUGAGAGAUGGACAAGCACAUUUUCAGGAAAAUUGAAUUCCAAGUAUGCAGACUCUAAAUGUUUCUACUUUCUACAUUGGUUCUUUUAUAGAUCAGUAAAGCCCAUAUACUCAAUUCCUAGUUCGAGAUUAAGAAGCCUAAGGCCUACAAAGAACGAAAUCUUGAGCAGCAUAAGUAUACUUACUAACUACACAAUUGGCCUUGUCAUAACUCAUUACAGCUAAUCAAACCUGAGGUGACCGCAUCACAUAAAACUGAACAAUGCCUGAAACCAUUUGUGCAAAUGAAACUCAUCAUUUUGAAAUGAAUCUACCAACAUUUUCUCAAGAAACGUC
rnacentral:lncRNA from 1 species